rnacentral:rRNA from 1 species
CUACGUGCCAGCAGCCGCGGUAAUACGUAGGGAGCGAGCGUUAUCCGGAUUUAUUGGGUGUAAAGGGUGCGUAGACGGAAAUGCAAGUUAGUUGUGAAAUACCUCGGCUUAACUGAGGAACUGCAACUAAAACUAUAUUUCUUGAGUAUCGGAGGGGUUUGUGGAAUUCCUAGUGUAGCGGUGAAAUGCGUAGAUAUUAGGAAGAACACCGGUGGCGAAGGCGACAAACUGGACGAUAACUGACGUUGAGGCACGAAAGUGUGGGGAGCAAGCAGGAUUAGAUACCCUGGUAGUCCACACCGUAAACGAUGGAUACUAGGUGUUGGCAAUGAAUAAUUGUCGGUGCCGGCGCUAACGCAAUAAGUAUCCCACCUGGGGAGUACGACCGCAAGGUUGAAACUCAAAGGAAUUGACGGGGGCCCGCACAAGCAGUGGAGUAUGUGGUUUAAUUCGAAGCUACGCGAAGAACCUUACCAAGGCUU